CUCCAUUUUUAUGAAUAAUUAGCACUUUCAGGGGGUUGCUUUUACCUAAGAUGUAAAAAUCUUAAAGAAUACUUUAAAGCCAGAGCUUAAGGGGCACUAUGCCAUCUAAAUAAAUCCAAUUUAUAAAUACUCCCAGCAAUGGAAAAACUCAGGAAUGAGAGGCGAACACUGUUUUUUUCCUUCCCAGCCCAAGCUCCAUGUUUUCAGAGCUCUGGUUUGGAUUAUGUUUGGAACUGGAAAGUCUCCCUGACAAAGAGCAGAUGGCUGAGGCACUGAUCCUGCCAGAUGCUGAUUUAGUCUGGACCCAGUCCAGAAGAGCACUUUGGCUUUGUGCGUAACUUUAAGCACAGGACUAACUCAAGGAUUCUCCCAUGCUCAGAGGUGAACCAGGAUUGGAACAGCAGCGUCCAGCACCCUGCAGGAUCAGCCACUGAACCAUCUGCAACAUCCACCUCCAAACCUGGAGCUGCAAACCCACUCCUGCAGCCAGCAACGCUGCAAGUCCAGCAGGAAAUCCCAGCCAGAGCCCAGCAGAGCCAGGAGGCCCUGAAUCCACUGCACAUUCCCAGUCUGGACGUGUGGAACAUCAGCCAGUGUCACCACAGACACCUGGGGGACACUGAACAGAUACAACACAAGCUUGGGGGAUCAAGGACUCUACGAGGGAAUGCAACUGCAGUUGGCUGGAGCAGCUGGAACCCAAAGCAAUAUUUGCUGGAAGAGUCUGGAGGGAGCACAGGAGAGAAACUCUGGGACAAAGAAGAAAGGCAAAGUGGUGAAGGAGCUUAUUCAUCCCACUUUUGAAUUAACUCGUGCUUCAGUACUCUCCUCACUCCCUAGGUGGUGGCCAGAGCAUGCUGGCUGCUCCAAAAGGGCUCAGCAGGAGCCCUGAUGGAUGCACAUGAGUUGGACAAGGUGAGGAUGAAACACAGUCUGCUUGGCCAGAAAUAGAUUUGAGGGCGUUGUUUAUGUUUAGUUCUGAGACAGCUUUGCACUCCAGCCUGGAAUAACUCUUUUCUCUCACAUUUCUCCUCCUUAGCUGGCUCAGAUUUUGAGCCACCAGCUGUUUGCUAGGAUUGUUCCUUCUCCUUGCUCCCUCCCUUCCAAAUUCUUCAGGACAUUAUUUUCUUGAAGCUUUUCUCAGUAAGAAUUUAAUCAAAUAAAACAAAACCACA